rnacentral:lncRNA from 1 species
CCUUACCAAACACACCACACACUCUUUUUGUAAUUAAGGAUAUGAUGAAGAUGAAGGAAAAUAAAAAAGCAACAUGGUGAAAUAGGAAAUCGCAAGUUCUUCUCAAAAUGGAUGUGUGGCUUUAUUUGCUUACAUCAGGUUGUAGCAUCCUGAAUGAUGAAGAUGAAGGCAGUCUUUUAACAGCAAUUCACAGACAGCGUUAACGGAGGAAGGGGGUUCAUGUCAUUUAGAAGCCAACACAAGGGAUGUAAUUGAUCAAAUAAAAAGUAGAGGGGAGGUAUGUGUCGUUUAACUAAAACUUAAGGGAGGUGAGUGUAAUUAUCCCUAUUUUUUUUAUCAAGGGUUUGAAUUUUCUAGAUCUGAAGGACACAUUUGAAAGCAAGGAACUCGGGAUUUUUUUGUGGCUCUCCAUCCAACUCAUAGUUGGUCUUACUUCAUGUAUUUGUCUUGCUUUAACUUAGUUAUUUGUGCUUUAGCCAUGAGUAUCUAAUUUUCUAUUGAUUAGGUCUUAGAUGAGCUUGUAUCAAACUCUUUGAACCAUGUGAUUGUAUAAACUCUACUCAAUACAAUUACAAUUCUAGUUGUUAUUCAGAAUUACUUGUGCUUAUUAAUGCUUUUUGUAACUUGAUCAAUUAUGAAAUGGACUUAAAUCUCAAUUGAC